AAAAAAAUAAACUUCAUAUUCUUCCCUUCCCACCCAAAUCCGCCCAUCCUACUGAACCAAACCAUAGCAGUCAUCACCUCGACCUCCACUCUGUUUCCUAACCCGUCUUUUUUCUCCAUCUUCUCCUAUUUAUAAUACUGUUACCAAUUUGAUUUCUUGGAUACUCUAAAGAUGGUAAGGGAAAAGGAGAUUAAAAGACAAAUGGAGCUCGUGGAUUUUAUUGAAUUUGGUCAGGUAAAGUCACUAAAACUAGUAGGAGGAAUUGAUUCAAAUAUGAGUAUUUUUCAAUAUGCCACCAAAUUCGCAUGAAAAUAUGGGGACAGAAAAUAUGUAUCAUGAGGGGGAGUCUCAUCUUGAAUCUUCAUGCCCACAUUUACAACUUGUUUAUGAAUUGCUCUUAAGAUAUGUGGUUUCAUUAGACAUGGAUAUAAAAAUAGACUACAGAUACAAAAAUUGGUUGUGGGUUAUAACGAGAUAAUGUUGGUUCCGUCAUGGCUUGAGCGGAUGUUAAACUCCACCUUUUUUAUGGUCUAUCGAGUCAGGACGAAG
rnacentral:lncRNA from 1 species